GAUGAACGCUGGCGGCGUGCCUAAUACAUGCAAGUCGAGCGAACAGACGAGGAGCUUGCUCCUCUGACGUUAGCGGCGGACGGGUGAGUAACACGUGGAUAACCUACCUAUAAGACUGGGAUAACUUCGGGAAACCGGAGCUAAUACCGGAUAAUAUAUUGAACCGCAUGGUUUAAUAGUGAAAGACGGUUUUGCUGUCACUUAUAGAUGGAUCCGCGCCGCAUUAGCUAGUUGGUAAGGUAACGGCUUACCAAGGCGACGAUGCGUAGCCGACCUGAGAGGGUGAUCGGCCACACUGGAACUGAGACACGGUCCAGACUCCUACGGGAGGCAGCAGUAGGGAAUCUUCCGCAAUGGGCGAAAGCCUGACGGAGCAACGCCGCGUGGGUGAUGAAGGUCUUCGGAUCGUAAAACUCUGUUAUUAGGGAAGAACAAAUGUGUAAGUAACUAUGCACGUCUUGACGGUACCUAAUCAGAAAGCCACGGCUAACUACGUG
rnacentral:rRNA from 1 species